rnacentral:rRNA from 1 species
GUUAAAACUCAAAGCAAUAGACGGGGACCCGCACAAGUGGUGGAGCAUGUGGUUUAAUUCGAAGAUACGCGAAGAACCUUACCUAGCCUUGACAUUGAUAGAAUCCCGCAGAGAUGUAGGAGUGCCCUUCGGGGAGCUUGAAAACAGGUGCUGCACGGCUGUCGUCAGCUCGUGUCGUGAGAUGUUGGGUUAAGUCCCGCAACGAGCGCAACCCUCGUCCUUAGUUGCCAGCAGGUUAAGCUGGGCACUCUAAGGAGACUGCCUUCGCAAGGAGGAGGAAGGUGAGGACGACGUCAAGUCAUCAUGGCCCUUACGGCCAGGGCUACACACGUGCUACAAUGGGGCGUAUAGAGAGUUGCAAUACCGCGAGGUGGAGCCAAUCUCAUAAAGCGUCUCUCAGUUCGGAUUGGAGUCUGCAACUCGACUCCAUGAAGCUGGAAUCACUAGUAAUCGUAGAUCAGCAUUGCUACGGUGAAUACGUUCCCGGGUCUUGCACACACCGCCCGU